UUUUCUUCCAGCUGCCGGACCAGCGGGCCUGCCGCCUCUACGGACCAGUCCCUGCUCAGGUGUCACUUUUGCUGGCAGGCCGAGAUUAGGGCAGGAGAGUGGGCAAGGCGUCGCGGCCAGGAGGAGAAGGGCUCUACCACGCCACCCUCCUUUGGCCUCCGAACGCGGACCCCGCACACACACACCCGCGCCUCUUUGGCAAGCGUGCCUUGUCGGCUGGGUUAAGCCGCAGUGCGUGCACACCGAGCGGCGGGGCGCUGUGGAACGCGGGAGCGGACUAGCGGAGGAGGAUGCGGACCAAGCCCCAGCGACCCAGGGCAACUCGGAGCUACCUCGGGCAGCCCUGCGGGUCUCCGAGGAGAACCGAGGAGACGGGAGAAACAUGGGAGAGGGUGGCCUUUUCCCUGUUCACACACACAUGCACGCAGCCACUGGCCGGGACAGUUGACACCCAUCUUCCUUCCCUGCUCCUUCCAGUCAUUCUACACCCGCUUGGUGCUGCCAGUGCGGGCAGGGCCUUGGAGCCCAAAGCGGAUCCCCACACUUGUCCCUACGGUCGGAAGGAAAGUAGAGGAGAGAAAGUCAGGCGCGGCAGGGCUAAGAGCAAUAGUGGCCCAAAUGUUCCUGGCCCGCCUGCUGCGCCACAGAGUCUGAAAAGCGGGUCUCCGUCUACCAGAAGGUGACCUCCACACAGCCCCUCUCCCCGACCAACUGCAGCACCCAAGGACUGGCAACGUGGUUGGAGCUUUUGGGGGGAAUUAUGAAGAAAUCUGAAUAAAUUUCUCACCCUUCA